CCUACGGGGGGCACCAGUGGGGAAUAUUGCACAAUGGGCGCAAGCCUGAUGCAGCCAUGCCGCGUGUAUGAAGAAGGCCUUCGGGUUGUAAAGUACUUUCAGCGGGGAGGAAGGUGUUGUGGUUAAUAACCACAGCAAUUGACGUUACCCGCAGAAGAAGCACCGGCUAACUCCGUGCCAGCAGCCGCGGUAAUACGGAGGGUGCAAGCGUUAAUCGGAAUUACCGGGCGUAAAGCGCACGCAGGCGGUCUGUUAAGUCAGAUGUGAAAUCCCCGGGCUCAACCUGGGAACUGCAUUUGAAACUGGCAGGCUAGAGUCUUGUAGAGGGGGGUAGAAUUCCAGGUGUAGCGGUGAAAUGCGUAGAGAUCUGGAGGAAUACCGGUGGCGAAGGCGGCCCCCUGGACAAAGACUGACGCUCAGGUGCGAAAGCGUGGGGAGCAAACAGGAUUAGAUACCCCAGUAGUC
rnacentral:rRNA from 1 species